UAAUAGCUUGGUGGUUAGAACCAUGUCAUGGGAAGCAACCGGUCGGAAGUUCGACUCACCGCCUCGCAUGCAUAUAAGAGUUAGAUUUUCCCAUUAUGGGAAGCAACCGGUCAAGAGUUCGACUCACCGUCUCGCAUGCACAAGAGUUACAUUUUCUCGAUCUAUGUAAGAAGGUUCCUGAGAAAGAGGGUUGGAGAGGUUACAUUAACGAGAAACGAGGUUAAAGGUUAUCAAUUUGUAUGAGAAGGUUACUUCUAUGUGAGAGAAUCUCACAUAGGCAAAGGGGAAUCUAGGUCUAAAGAUCGGCCUCACAUAGGCGAUGGGAAGUUUUUUU
rnacentral:lncRNA from 1 species